rnacentral:misc_RNA from 1 species
GAGUCCUAACUCAUUUCAAUAGCAUGAUCCUAGAUUCUAUUUUUCUUUUAAGAAUGAUCAAGUUUACUCAAAAUUCAUUUUUGGAUUACUUGAGGCGUUUAGCUGCACCACUAGUUGUACAAUUGAUGUUCCUCAAAUUCAUGUAAGUUGAGAUGUUGCGUUUUGAUUCUUUAUACUUUAUUUUUUUCUUAAUUUAUCUGUAAGUCUUUUGUUUGCACAAGAAAAAAUGUUUGUAUUUAUGCUUGUGAUUUUUUAUUUCAAAUUACUUGAUUUGGUUUUGAUGCAAAUUGUUGAUUUAUGAUUUUUGAUUCAUGGUUUGUAUUUGUUUUAUGUCCAUUUUUGGAUCUGGAUAAUUUAAGAGAGAAUGAGGAAGAUGUUGAGAGACAAAGGAGGGUGGGGGGGAUAGAUAUUUAGGGGCUAUUUAAGUCAUUUUACCAUAUUGUAACAGGAAACUGCCUAUAGCAGGUCAAUAGGAGUUUUUGGUUAAUGAAAUUAAAAUUAAGGGAAUUUUAUGUUAAGAAUUAAAAUUUAGGUAUAGUGCUGUUACACACUCCCUAAGUUAAUGUACUGUCUGUGAAAUUUACUCCAAGAAAAAGGAUAUUAAUAUUUUUGUUUAAUGGCGAAACAAAGCCAGAGUGCUACAUGUACUGCGUUUUUGGGCUUCCUAAGGGAAAAUAAAAAAAAGAGGAAGUUAUAGAGAAGAUCAAACCAGGGAUGGAGCUUUUUCUGUUUGACUUUUUGAACUGAAGCUUCUGUAAGUUCCAUACAAACCAAUCUCUGUUGGAAAGUUGAACUUGGAAACUGCUGCUUUUGGCGUAAAGUUUCCUGCACAGGUAUUAUUCGUACUUCACUUAUAAACCUGUAAGGCUCAGUUGUUUAAGAUCUAAGCCUGAGAAAAAGAAGCCAGAGCUGUGUUCCUAUUUGCUUGGCAACUUCCAUGCUUAAUGAAUUAGAGUAGUGCUGCAGAUAAAGUACAGUCAUACAUUUGGGCGGGCUCAUUUUCUUUCUUAAUUUUUUUUUUCCCACAGGCAUUAACCCCAGUUAUGGGCUCAUAAUAGAUGCAAUGCAUUCUAUGACCAUAAAAUUGGUUGGUAAAGAUAGAUUAUAUGCAAAGAAAGAAAGACACCUAUCUAGUACUAUGCCAAUAUGAGACCUUAUAAUGGUGUGAAACAUCCUGUUGGGACUUUGUUCCUAAACUUCCUGGGAUCAAUGGGUUGGGAAACUGGCAUGUUGUCUUUUGUGUGGUUAUGAACUUCAGGUAUCCUUGUUCAAGUUCUUAUUGUGAGAAUAAUAGCUGGAAUGGCUUAACAUUUCUUGGAUGUUGUUAUAUUCCUAGUAAUGCUGCUCAAAGGUCAUUGCAAUUUUAUAUUUUUGAUUUUUGAUUAAUCUUGUUUGAAAUGUAAAUGUUGAUUCAAAUAUUUCAUUAUCCAUCUAAUUGAGUUGGUGGCAUGAAUAUAGUUCUUUCCUGCUUGAUGUUUGUUUUCUUUGUUUUUCUCAGCUAGGCUGGAGCACAUUAUCUUUUCCAAUCUGUUGAAUGUAUCUUUAGCUUUUUUUUUUCUUUUAAAACCAUUUUCCUUUUGUCCCUUUGCUCAGGUGAGCUUCAGAAUUUGCAAAGAUUGUUUUCCAUUGCCUGAGAGGUCCUUUAAACAUGCUAUCCAAGAUAACUAUCAGAAAGGAAAAUUUAAACAAGAACUAAAUGACCAGCAAGUAAGUUGCAUUAUCAAGCAUGAUGACAUAAGUUGCAUUAUCAAGCUUGAUGACAUGUAAUUUAAUUUCAUCAUUAUUGGUUUCAUAAUCUUCUGUUAUAUAUUUGUGAUAAUUAUGAUCUAAUAGCAGUUGAUGUGGUUCAGGUAAAGAGUCUCUUGUCAUUGUUUCGUCCGCUUUUGCCUGCAUUAGCUCUUGUUCCUCCUAUAUCGCCUUGUGUAUCCAUGUCAUUGCCAGCCAUAGAGAAUCAGUUUCUGCCCCAAGCAACUGUGCCUUCACGAGAGGAUUCAUAUGUAGCUGGGAUACAACUUAGUCGUAACCAAUCAUUGUUGACUCCUCAACAUGCUCUACAUGAGGUACGAGGCCCACAACAUGCUUAUUAUGGAUCCUCAACGCAUAAGCAUCCAUCAGUGAAGCUACAAGAUAUGCAAGCUCCUAGAAUGCGUCAUUUGGAGGAUCCUUAUUUCGCUAGGAUGCAGCACAAUCAUGACCCACAAGUGUUGGCAACUCAAUAUAUUGAGCAGAGGGUCUUACCAUCUCAACCUGGUUCACAUGGAGCCAUGGUAAACAUGGGUUAUGCCCAUCAAGCUAUGGAACCACAAACUCUACCAAUUCGAAAUGCCCUGUACAAUUCCACAGAUGCUUCAUAUGGGGCUUUGCAACCUGCUUCAUAUGAAAACAUUGGUUAUGUCCAUCAAGCCAUGAAACCACAAACUCUACCUGUUCCAACUGCCCCAUGCCAUUCCACAGAUGCUCAACGGGCACACUUUCUUGGGUACCCAUACCACAGAUAUGGGCCUGGCGAGGAGAUGUUUCCGAAUGUUCAACACCUUGGCUCAGCAAAUGAGCAUUAUCAGUAACAAUCACAGAAGCAAGAAAUUGCUCUGCAUCAGGAAAAUGUUCAGAACUACAAUUACUUGCCUGCAACCACAAAACUGCACAAACAUCAAUAAUUGGAUGGCACUAAAGCAUCAACCGCUGGAUGGGCGGUGGGGAAUAUUCCUUUUCCUCCAUAUUCCUAUGUUGAGGUCACUUCAACACAUUGUCAGGCAAUUUGAGUUGAGAAGAGGCCAUAAUUUUGCUGGAAUAUUAUCGUACGAUUUGGCCAGUUACAUUUGCAUUGCAUAGUAAAAUUAAGAACUCCCAACAACCUUUAAUGAGAAUCUAAACGUUCACUGGCUUAUUCUGAUCAUUGUAAUUUUCCAUAUUCAUGAUAAUACCUAGAAGCUCUCAAUUAAUACCGACUGGAAGCUGGUGGAUUACAUGUCAUUUUAGUGGUAAAAUCCAACUGUAAUCCAAUAUUUGUUAUAUGACUCUCUCUUUCAAUGAUAUUGGUCAUUUUUGGUUGAUGAAACUGAAAGUCUAUAGUGGAAUAAUGGACCUUGACUUAGUGGAGACGCACUGAGCUUGACCCUAGGAUUAGAUGGACGACUUCGGCCCCUUUAGGACUCGACUUCAAGUCGGUGUGUCAAGAUUCCCAUGGUCUUCUUCACACUGGUUAGCCCAAAAAAGAAGUGUGAUUUCCAAUUGAUACGAGUAUUAACUUCUACUUCAGCACAAUCGAUGUGAACUCCCUCCACCAACCUCUAGUGGUUGACUUGCUGACCUUACUCUGGCAAUUCUGGAACAUCAAAUAAUAUCAUCGCUGGAUAGCUCGUUGGUCUCGUAGAGGAGCUAUUCAGGGAUGAUAAUUU